rnacentral:rRNA from 1 species
UACAGAGGGGGCGAGCGUUAUUCGGAAUUAUUGGGCGUAAAGGGCGCGUAGGCGGCUUUUCAAGUGACGGGUGAAAUCCCUCGGCUUAACCGAGGAACUGCCUGUCAGACUGGGAGGCUUGAGACCGGGAGAGGUGAGUGGAAUUCCCAGUGUAGCGGUGAAAUGCGUAGAUAUUGGGAGGAACACCAGUGGCGAAGGCGGCUCACUGGACCGGAACUGACGCUGAGGCGCGAAAGCGUGGGGAGCAAACAGG